UACGGAGGGUGCGAGCGUUACCCGGAUUUACUGGGUGUAAAGGGCGUGUAGGCGGUCUCUCAAGUCCGAUGCUAAAGACCGAAGCUCAACUUCGGGGGUGCGUUGGAUACUGUGAGGCUAGACGGUCGGAGGGGGUAGCGGAAUUUCCGGAGUAGCGGUGAAAUGCGCAGAUACCGGAAGGAACGCCGAUAGCGAAGGCAGCUAUCUGGACGCUUGGUGACGCUGAGACGCGAAAGCGUGGGGAGCAAACAGG
rnacentral:rRNA from 1 species